CCUUAAAUCGAUCGCUUCUUCAUAGAAAGCUGGGAGGGAACUUGCCUACUUAGCCUCAAAGUCUGGUGGGAGCAGAGGAGGAACACUUAGAACAGUCUGGAACGUGGGGGUUCUAUCAAAGAGUCGCUUAGCCGUCCAGACACCGGCUUUACCCUACCUGCAGCCCAACCCACUGGCAGACCGGCCUCCCAAAGCAGGGCAGACAGAGGGCAGCAGCUUCCUACAUGUACGGCAAUCGGGCAUGACACACCACUCCCAAGUGACUUGCUGUGAUUUUUUUCAGAUUCCUAUAUCCAAAAAAAAAAAAAAAGCCCAAUUUUGACCACAGAGGCAUAUUAUCAACACUCUUUCUUUUUUGCUCCUUUGGUUAAGAACCACAUGUGAGACUUGUGCUAAUCCUAUUCAGCAAACUAAGACUGUCAACCCAAGAGCUUCAAAAAUAAAGCCACCAAGAUGAGAAUUUUUCAAAGACUCCGUAUCUAUGACAACCUAGAGUUCAAUUUUUAACUUUGCUAUGCACCAAAGAAGGCAGUUGUGGUUUCCAUGAACCAUUCUAUCUAAUCACACCUUCCAAGUUGUUGCUAAGGUGACAGCAAGAUGUGGGUUUCAUUUUCUCUCAAUUGGUUUUUAUAAGGCAGAUCCAUUCUAUCCAUCCACAAAAUAUGAAACUGUUCCUUCUUUCUUCUUUCCUAAGUCCAAUUAAGCAUACAAGCCAGGAAUUUGGCCCGAGAACCAUUCAUGAGCUGCUGAGUGCUAAAUCAUGCAACUACCUCCUGUCUCUUCCAUCCCUGGACAAUGACAAAUUAGUUCUUUGUUCAAGUUCUAGUCUUAGAAUUAUACUGCAGGCUCAAGAUACCCAAUAAAAAUGAAUAGGAUUUUU